rnacentral:rRNA from 1 species
GUCCUUUUGUUAUUUAUUUAAGGUCUGACCUGCCCUAUGAUUUAUUUAAAUGGCCGCGGUACUUUGACCGUGCAAAGGUAGCAUAAUCAUUUGUCUUUUAAUUGAAGGCUUGUAUGAAUGGUCUGACGAGAAAUAUACUUUCUUUACUUUAUUUUAUGAAUUUAAUUUUUUAGUCAAAAAGCUAAAAUUUUUUUAUGGGACGAGAAGACCCUAUAGAACUUUAUUUUUUUUAAUUUUAUUUUUAUUUGGUUUAUAAUUAUUUUUGAUUUUAAAUAAAAUUUUGUUGGGGUGACAUAGAAAUUUUUUUAACUUUCUUUUUUAUUAAUCACUAAUUUGUGUUUUUUUGAUCCGGUUUUAUCGAUUAUUAGUUUAAGUUACCUUAGGGAUAACAGCGUUAUUUUAUUGGAGAGUUCUUAUCGAUAAUAAAGUUUGCGA